UACGGGAGGCAGCAGUGGGGAAUAUUGGACAAUGGGCGCAAGCCUGAUCCAGCCAUGCCGCGUGUGUGAAGAAGGCCUUCGGGUUGUAAAGCACUUUUGUCCGGAAAGAAAAGCUUAGGGUUAAUAACCUUGAGUCAUGACGGUACCGGAAGAAUAAGCACCGGCUAACUUCGUGCCAGCAGCCGCGGUAAUACGAAGGGUGCAAGCGUUACUCGGAAUUACUGGGCGUAAAGCGUGCGUAGGUGGUUUUGUUAAGUCUGAUGUGAAAGCCCUGGGCUCAACCUGGGAAUGGCAUUGGAAACUGGCUUACUAGAGUGCGGUAGAGGGGUGUGGAAUUCCCGGUGUAGCAGUGAAAUGCGUAGAUAUCGGGAGGACAUCUGUGGCGAAGGCGACACCCUGGACCAGCACUGACACUGAGGCACGAAAGCGUGGGGAGCAAACGAGGAUUAGAUACC
rnacentral:rRNA from 1 species